UUGAUUUAAUAUAAAAGGUAUAUUCUGCCCAGUGACCUACGGGUUAAACGGCCGCGGUACCCUGACCGUGCUAAGGUAGCGUGAUAAAUUGCCCUUUAAUUGUGGGCCUGUACGAACGGAUACACGAAAGUAAUACUGUCUUCUACUAUAAAAAUAAAAAUUGCCUUACAGGUGAAGAUGCCUGUAUUAAACUAAAGGACAAAAAGACCCCAUAGAGCUCAGAUUUUGUAUUAGUCCACCUAUUUUAUUACAUAAAUAUUAAUUACUAAAAAAAAAUCUUAACUGGGGCGGUUGAGGAAAAAAAAAUCUUCCUUUAAAAAAAAGAUACCACAAAUCAAAAAAAUUGAGCCUUAAAUAUAAAGAUCAAAGGAAAAGCUACCUUGGGGAUAACAGAUUAAUCUUUCUUGAGAGUUCACAUUGACAGAAAGGUUUGACACCUCGAUGUUGGCUUAGGGCACCCAAAGAGUAGCAGCAGCCCUUAAAGGUAGGUUUGUUCAACCUUUAAAGCCCUACGUGAUCUGA
rnacentral:rRNA from 1 species